rnacentral:rRNA from 1 species
UACGGAGGGGGCUAGCGUUGUUCGGAAUUACUGGGCGUAAAGGGCGCGUAGGCGGCGACUCAAGUUAGAUGUGAAAGUCCUGGGCUUAACCUGGGGACUGCAUUUGAUACUGGGUUGCUUGAAUUCGGGAGAGGAUAGCGGAAUUCCCAGUGUAGAGGUGAAAUUCGUAGAUAUCGGGAGGAACACCAGCGGCGAAGGCGGCGCUCUGGGCCGGAACUGACGCUGAGGAGCGAAAGCAUGGGGAGCGAACAGG